rnacentral:rRNA from 1 species
UACAGAGGGUGCAAGCGUUGUUCGGAAUUAUUGGGCGUAAAGCGCGUGUAGGCGGCUUCGCAAGUCGGGUGUGAAAUCCCCCAGCUUAACUGGGGAAGUGCGCUCGAAACUGCGGGGCUCGAGUACCGGAGAGGAUGGCGGAAUUCCCCAAGUAGAGGUGAAAUUCGUAGAUAUGGGGAGGAACACCGGUGGCGAAGGCGGCCAUCUGGACGGAUACUGACGCUGAGACGCGAAAGCGUGGGGAGCAAACAGG